rnacentral:lncRNA from 1 species
CUCAAACCAUAGGUGAUUGGCUCUGGGGAGGGAUCUUAAAGAACAUCUCAAUUCAAAAAAAUUGCAUCUCAAUAAAUCUAUGUGGCUUGUCCAAGGUCUGCCAACCCCUAGUUUAGUUAGUGCUCAUUCAACUUCCAAAUGAAAGGAAAUGGAACCCAUGAAGACAGAUAGCUUUUUUUCCCCUCCCAAUAAAAGAUAAUCCAUGUGCCAGAACAAUGUAAAAGUCAUCACGCUGUAAAAGUCAUCACACUGUACAAGUAGAAAGGAAAUUGGACUAAUCAUGUAGUGAAUAAGAGAAGUGACAGAUGGCUAACCCCAUUAAUAUACAGGUACUUCUGAGAUGUUAAAAGAACAAAAGACAGCCCUCCAAAGUAUGAGGUGGAUUCCCUAUGGAGGAUUAAUGAGAAUACAUGGGUAAGAAUUAUAAAAGAUCAGGAGCUAUAGAAAUUAUAGUCUCAAUUAGUGGAGUGGAGUUUCCACAUGGAUUCACCAAGACAACAAAGAAUCAAAACCAAAGGAUAAGACAUCUUUUGCUAGAUUAAGAAAAAAUAAUGAAAGUAUAUUUGGAUGUCCAUUUUCCUGGUGUUCCCACUCUUUAUAUAAUUAUAGUUCUGACAAACCUCAAAAAGAAGACAAGGGGAAUAGAAUAUAGUGUGUGAUAAGCAGAGUACUAAUAUACAUUGCUCUAAAUUUAAACUGGAAAUCCCAGUGACUAAAACAAUGCUAAAUUGUCCAGUCUUCCCAAUCACAUUAAUGACAACCCUUUGAGAACAUAAAUAUUUUCAUAGUUUAGGCAAGAUAAAACCUUAGAAAUGAAAGGGACCUUAGAGGACAUCCUGUGCAUUUUCCUACCUUGAAUAAGAAUUCCUCCUAAAAUAUUCCAUUAAAAUGCUUGUCCAGCCAUUAUUUCAAUAAUUCUAGGCAUGGAGAGCUCCCUACUUACCAAGAAAGCCCAUUCUAUUUAUGAACAACACUAAUCAUUAAGUACCUCCUUAUCUUCAGGCCAAAUUCUAGCUAGUAGUGUUAGUUCUGCUCUUUUAAAAGACAAGAGUUUUGAAAGGCAGAGUCUUAUAAGUGAGAGCAUGCUGGACUUCAAGGCAGAAGAAUUAGAUUCCACCAUAGCAAGUCACUCAAUCUAAGACUCAACUGACUCAUCAAUGUGAUAGAAACAACAAUGCUUUCAUUAUCAACUUCAUGGGGAGGGAGAAGUGUUGUAUGAAGGAUCAAAUGAGAUAUUGUAAGUCAAGAGCUUUAUGCCCAUUAAAAACCUGUACAAAAGUGAAUAUUACCCAG